GUGCGACAGUUGAAUUCAAUAUAAGCCAACCUUACAGCUGAGGUGAUGCCAGGAAUGCUAUAUUAGUGCUAGACGUUGAUGUAAGUUGGUAUAAAAACAUGCCCCGUCAACAUUUCAACUGCUUAUAAUAUUCUAUAUAUCGGAUCCUUAAUUCAUGUCUUAUUUGUUUGUUUCUUAUGCAAUGCAGGUGUUUCUUCAAAUAUGUUAUAAAAUAUUAAAAUGUGAAAAGUCCCGCCGCGACGCGUGGGGUAUCAUCUAGUAUGAAAGGAAUGAUUACAACCGCCUCUUGAUCUCAAUCAAUUUCAUAGAUGUGUUAUGUGUUUUAAUUAUUACUAGGCAGCAUUACAAGAUAAAUAUGUUUGACAUCUUUGUCUAUGCGCAGUACGGACAGCUGGGAAGGGAGCUAUACUCAAUGUGCAAACAAAAGCUGUCAAUAUAAAUGAUUUUAAUUUUUUUUUUGUUGGCAGAGGCGAUUCCAACGGCUCGCUUCUGUAAUGUCGUUUAUGGGAUUUUUACAUAUGUAUAUUUAGCCUCAACCGCUAUAUGGGCGAUAUAUAUA
rnacentral:lncRNA from 1 species